rnacentral:rRNA from 1 species
GAUCUUGCACAAUGGGGGAAACCCUGAUGCAGCGAUGCCGCGUGAGUGAAGAAGGCCUUUGGGUUGUAAAGCUCUUUCGUCGGGGAAGAAAAUGACUGUACCCGAAUAAGAAGGUCCGGCUAACUUCGUGCCAGCAGCCGCGGUAAUACGAAGGGACCUAGCGUAGUUCGGAAUUACUGGGCUUAAAGAGUUCGUAGGUGGUUAAAAAAGUUGGUGGUGAAAUCCCAGAGCUUAACUCUGGAACUGCCAUCAAAACUUUUUAGCUAGAGUAUGAUAGAGGAAAGCAGAAUUUCUAGUGUAGAGGUGAAAUUCGUAGAUAUUAGAAAGAAUACCGAUUGCGAAGGCAGCUUUCUGGAUCAUUACUGACACUGAGGAACGAAAGCAUGGGUAGCGAAGAGGAUUAGAUACCCUCGUAGUCCAUGCCGUAAACGAUGUGUGUUAGACGUUGGAAAUUUAUUUUCUGUGUCGCAGCGAAAGCAAUAAACACACCGCCUGGGGAGUACGACCGCAAGGUUAAAACUCAAAUGAAUUGACGGGGACCCGCACAAGUAGUGGAGCAUGUGGUUUAAUUCGAAGAUACGCGCAGAACCUUACCAACACUUGACAUGUUCGUCGCGACUUUAAGAGAUUAAAGUUUUCGGUUCGGCCGGACGAAACACAGGUGCUGCAUGGCUGUCGUCAGCUCGUGUCGUGAGAUGUUGGGUUAAGUCCCGCAACGAGCGCAACCCUCACUUUUAGUUGCCAUCAUUAAGUUGGGCACUCUGAAAGAACUGCCAGUGAUAAGCUGGAGGAAGGUGGGGAUGACGUCAAGUCCUCAUGGCCCUUACGUGUUGGGCUACACACGUGCUACAAUGGCAUUUACAAUAGGAAGCAAGACGGCGACGUUAAGCAAAUCCUAAAAAAAUGCCUCAGUUCGGAUUGUACUCUGCAACUCGAGUACAUGAAGCUGGAAUUACUAGUAAUCGCGGAUCAGCGCGCCGCG